rnacentral:tmRNA from 1 species
GGGGAUGUCAAGGUUUCGACGGGGGUCGUUGAGGCUUUGGGAGCCAUCCGCAGGUUGGACUGCGUAACAACCAAACCUAAAUAUAAACGCAAACAAUAACGAAGACGCUUACGCGUUAGCUGCCUAAUUUAGCGCAGCCGUCUCGCCCGGAGCUCCUACUCUCCGGAUCCGGGGUGUAAUCAUAACGUAGGGAACUUUUCGCCCUAAGCUUUGCGGGCGAUAAAGAAUUCAUGAAGCUACUAACGCGCUGAUCCUGUCGGCAGGAGCGGCGCCGCGGGAAGUUUAAAUUACCGACUAUGAUGGUAGGGCCCGGAGCGGAUGGGCUUUCGGACAGGAGUUCGAUUCUCCUCAUCUCCAU